rnacentral:rRNA from 1 species
UACAGAGACUCCAAGCAUUUACCGGAUUUAUUGGGUGUAAAGGGUCCGCAGGCGGCUUUGCGCGUCGUUGGUUAAAUUUCAGGGCUCAACCCUGAAACCGCCAAUGAUACGGCAGAGCUAGAACAUGGGAGAGGCGCGUAGAAUUUCCGGUGUAGUAGUAAAAUGCGUUAAUAUCGGAAAGAAUGCCAAAUGUGAAGACAGCGCGCUAGAACAUUGUUGACGCUCAGGGACGAAAGCGUGGGGAGCGAAAGGG